CUUCAAAACAGCUCUCAGGAACAGAUGGGUGACGUCACGGAUACUACGUCCAUAUUUUUUACAGUCUAUGUGUGAAACACAUUGUUUAUUGUGCCACAAGGUGUCAUCGUUUUGCUCAUUAAGGGCACAGGUAUAAAAGUACGUCACCGCCUGGGUAUCAGAUGUGUGUCUUGACCCGGAAGGGCAGUUGGUUUUUGACCGUUGUCACGUUCUCGUUGUCACGUUGUUACGUUGUCACUUUGUCGUUGUUACGUUAUUGCCUCGUCACGUCGUUACGUUGGAUGCUGUGACGCUGCGUCGGCAGGCGGCAUGGAGAACCGCGUCUAAAAUGUUUGUACGUGCAAUGAAGGAGAAACUUGUGGACGCUGUCUAACUGUUCGUACGGUGAUGAAAUAAAUGGAUUGUAUUGUGCAGCAAACCAAAGUUACGCCUCAGACCUGUUAUUUCAACAACUACAGUGAAUGGUAUGGUAUGGACAAACAUAUAACAGUACAACGCGUCAGCCAAGUCAUUCCCGGGAGAAAUCAAAACACACCGGCAGCUUUAGUGUGAGACUAAGCUUCUAUAUUGUCAAAAACCGUGCUAUUUGGAACUUUGUUUGUAAACCCUCCGGCGCGUUUGGCACGUCACGGAGGAGGCACGAGGAACGUGAAGCUGUCAGCGGCUAUCGUUGGUGGAGGAAGUUUUGGAGCUUCGGAAGGACCGGAGGGCUGCAAGGAUUUCAGCCGACUGGACUUCGGCUGCAGUCAACGUCGGACCCGGAGGGCCGCGGUCAUCGUUGGACCCGGAGGGCUGCGGUCAUCGUUGGACCCGGAGGGCUGCGGUCAUCGUCGGACCCGGAGGGCUGCGCUCAUCGUCGGACCCGGAGGGCUGCGUUCAUCGUUGGACCCGGAGGGCUGCGGUCAUCGUCGGACCCGGAGGGCUGCGCUCAUCGUCGGACCCGGAGGGCUGCGUUCAUCCUUGGACCCUGAGGGCUGCGGUCAUCGUCGGACCCGGAGGGCUGCGUUCAUCGUUGGACCCGGAGGGCUGCGCUCAUCGUUGGACCCGGAGGGCUGCGGUCAUCGUUGGACCCGGAGGGCUGCGGUCAUCGUCGGACCCGGAGGGCUGCGGUCAUCGUCGGACCCGGAGGGCUGCGCUCAUCGUCGGACCCGGAGGGCUGCGCUCAUCAUCGGACCCGGAGGGCUGCGGUCAUCGUUGGACCCGGAGGGCUGCGGUCAUCGUCGGACCCGGAGCAGGGAGCUGCGAGGAUUUCGGCUGCAGUGAUCUUUGGACCUGAGGCAGAAGCUACGGUGCUAUUUCUACGGCUACGCCUGUGGAGCAUCGUACCCAAAUCACCGCAAGGCGCCCAACGCAGCGUUUGGAGAGAGAAUCCUGUGCUGAGGGCCUUUACAAGCCACUCCAGAUCUUGUAUCUUGAAUGGAAACAGCACGAGAUGUGUGUCUAACAUGAGUCUGGUCCUGCUGGAGGUUUCUGCCUGUUAACCCUGUCCGGCAAGCGAGCCAUGAACUCACACAACCUGCAGACUUUUCUCCAGACUCAUCUCCUUAUUUUAUUGGACUGGAUUUUCCAUGAUUCAAAAUGCCACCAACAAAGAGAUAUGUUCUCUACAGUGUGCAGGAUGGGAUUGAUGCCAUCACAAAUGGAGACAAUGGUUUUGAGAUGGAUUCAGACACUGAUACCAGUGCAAGAGGCAGAUGAACAUGCAAAGUGGACAGAGAAAAUCUACAGCCCACUGACUGCCCAGCUGAUGAUUAUAUGAACAUUCAGCCCCAAACUACCAAACACAAAAAGCCCAGCGACCAGUAGUAUUGUCUGAAAAAGGAUAUCAUUAGUCCCAAUACUGAUUUCUCUGGUCCAGACAUCACCAAUAAUGUAAUUUCUCUCAAUACACCACUAGAGUACUUCAAGAAGUUUGUGUCCGAUUAUGUAGAAUAGAAAUACCCACACCCUACGCAGCAAGUGUGAUGUUCGUCUUUGCUUUCAGAGGAAAAGAACUGUUUCUGGGACUUACGCUGCAAAUGAACAAAGCUGAACACUGGGACACUAGGACUUUGAAUGCUCAGAAGGGAUUUUGUAAAUUUUGUAA